UACGGGGGGGAGCAAGCGUUGUUCGGAUUUACUGGGCGUAAAGAGCGCGCAGGCGGUCGAUCAAGUCGAGUGUGAAAGCCCCCGGCUCAACUGGGGAGGGUCAUUCGAUACUGAUCGACUCGAAGGCAGGAGAGGGUAGUGGAAUUCCCGGUGUAGUGGUGAAAUGCGUAGAUAUCGGGAGGAACACCAGUGGCGAAGGCGACUACCUGGCCUGUUCUUGACGCUGAGGCGCGAAAGCUAGGGGAGCAAACGGG
rnacentral:rRNA from 1 species